rnacentral:rRNA from 1 species
AACGAACGCUGGCGGCAGGCCUAACACAUGCAAGUCGAACGCUGUAGCAAUACAGAGUGGCAGACGGGUGAGUAACGCGUGGGAACAUGCCCUUCGGUUCGGAAUAACUCAGGGAAACUUGAGCUAAUACCGGAUACGCCCUUAGGGGGAAAGAUUUAUUGCCGAAGGAUUGGCCCGCGUCCGAUUAGCUAGUUGGUGAGGUAAUGGCUCACCAAGGCGACGAUCGGUAGCUGGUCUGAGAGGAUGAUCAGCCAAACUGGGACUGAGACACGGCCCAGACUCCUACGGGAUGCAGCAGUGGGGGAUAUUGGACAAUGGGCGCAAGCCUGAUCCAGCCAUGCCGCGUGAGUGAUGAAGGCCCUAGGGUUGUAAAGCUCUUUCGCCAGGGACGAUAAUGACGGUACCUGGAUAAGAAGCCCCGGCUAACUUCGUGCCAGCAGCCGCAGUAACAC